CAGAGGGUGCGAGCGUUGUUCGGAAUUACUGGGCGUAAAGCGCGCGCAGGCGGCCCUUUAAGUCCGUCGGUCAAAUGCCGGGGCUCAACCCCGAGCGUGCCGAGGAUACUGGAGGGCUGGAGACACGUAGAGGCAAGCGGAAUUCCGGGUGUAGCGGUGGAAUGCGUAGAGAUCCGGAAGAACACCGGAGGCGAAGGCGGCUUGCUGGGCGUGAUCUGACGCUGAGGCGCGAAAGCGUGGGGAGCGAACAGGAUUAGAUACCCUGGUAGUCCACGCCGUAAACGAUGGGCACUAGACGCUGGUGGGAUCGACCCCUUCGGUGUCGCAGCUAACGCGAUAAGUGCCCCGCCUGGGGAGUACGGCCGCAAGGCUG
rnacentral:rRNA from 1 species